AAAUUGAAGAGUUUGAUCAUGGCUCAGAUUGAACGCUGGCGGCAGGCCUAACACAUGCAAGUCGAACGGUAACAGGAAGCAGCUUGCUGCUUCGCUGACGAGUGGCGGACGGGUGAGUAAUGUCUGGGAAACUGCCUGAUGGAGGGGGAUAACUACUGGAAACGGUGGCUAAUACCGCAUAACGUCGCAAGACCAAAGAGGGGGACCUUCGGGCCUCUUGCCAUCAGAUGUGCCCAGAUGGGAUUAGCUUGUUGGUGAGGUAACGGCUCACCAAGGCGACGAUCCCUAGCUGGUCUGAGAGGAUGACCAGCCACACUGGAACUGAGACACGGUUCAGACUCCUACGGGAGGCAGCAGUGGGGAAUAUUGCACAAUGGGCGCAAGCCUGAUGCAGCCAUGCCGCGUGUAUGAAGAAGGCCUUCGGGUUGUAAAGUACUUUCAGCGGGGAGGAAGGUGUUGUGGUUAAUAACC
rnacentral:rRNA from 1 species